UUUCCACUAAGGAGAAGGUGACUCUGUCUCUUUACAGACAUUCAGGAGUUUGGGGCUGUUGUCUACGUUACAGUGAAGAUCCUGCUAAUUGUAAUGCUCUACAGUACAACCGCCAUCUUUGAAUGCUGGAUUAGAUCAAGAUUCUCCAACAAACCAGAGAAGGACAUAGAAGAAGCAGAUUAUGUCAGCAGGGUGGUCCACAUUCAAGCUUCAUGAGCCACAAAGAAGACGAGGA